rnacentral:rRNA from 1 species
UUUGUAUAAUGGGUCAGCGACUUAUAUUCAGUGGCAAGGUUAACCAUCUAGGGGAGCCGUAGGGAAACCGAGUCUUAACUGGGCGUUCAGUCUCUGGAUAUAGACCCGAAACCAGGUGAUCUAGCCAUGGGCAGGUUGAAGGUUGAGUAACAUCAACUGGAGGACCGAACCGACUAAUGUUGAAAAAUUAGCGGAUGACUUGUGGCUAGGGGUGAAAGGCCAAUCAAACCUGGAGAUAGCUGGUUCUCCCCGAAAGCUAUUUAGGUAGCGCCUCGGACGAAUACUACUGGGGGUAGAGCACUGUUAAGGCUAGGGGGUCAUCCCGACUUACCAACCCUUUGCAAACUCCGAAUACCAGUAAGUACUAUCCGGGAGACACACGGCGGGUGCUAACGUCCGUCGUGGAGAGGGAAACAACCCAGACCGCCAGCUAAGGUCCCAAAUUACUACUAAGUGGGAAACGAUGUGGGAAGGCUCAGACAGCCAGGAUGUUGGCUUAGAAGCAGCCAUCAUUUAAAGAAAGCGUAAUAGCUCACUGGUCGAGUCGGCCUGCGCGGAAGAUGUAACGGGGCUAAGUAGUAAACCGAAGCUGCGGCAAUAUGCUUUAGCAUAUUGGGUAGGGGAGCGUUCUGUAAGCGGUUGAAGGUGUGUGGUAACGCAUGCUGGACGUAUCAGAAGUGCGAAUGCUGACAUGAGUAACGAUAAAGGGGGUGAAAAACCUCCUCGCCGGAAGACCAAGGGUUCCUGUCCAACGUUAAUCGGGGCAGGGUAAGUCGACCCCUAAGGCGAGGCCGAAAGGCGUAGUCGAUGGGAAACGGGUUAAUAUUCCCGUACUUCUUACAAUUGCGAUGGGGGGACGGAGAAGGCUAGGUGGGCCUGGCGACGGUUGU